rnacentral:pre_miRNA from 1 species
AUAUGGUGUCUAGCCCUUUAGUUUUGUGGUUGAUGUACUGUGUGCAAGUAUAUACAUUUAUCACGUGCAGUCAUUGUCUUUGAAAGUGAGCAUGCAUCUU